rnacentral:rRNA from 2 species
GGGACCUGCGGAAGGAUCAUUA